UACGUAGGGGCUAGCGUUAUCCGGAUUUACUGGGCGUAAAGGGUGCGUAGGCGGGCUAUUAAGUCAGUGGUGAAAUCCUGCAGCUUAACUGCAGAACUGCCGUUGAUACUGAUAGUCUUGAGUUUGGUUAAGGUAGGCGGAAUGUGUAAUGUAGCGGUGAAAUGCUUAGAUAUUACACAGAACACCAAUUGCGUAGGCAGCUUACUGAGCCGACACUGACGCUGAGGCACGAAAGCGUGGGGAUCAAACAGGAUUAGA
rnacentral:rRNA from 1 species